GCCGCUGGACACACAUCGGUAGAAAACAAGGCUUCAGUAAUUUUUACUCCUCACAGAUCUACUUAUAUUUUCUAUUCUCCUCUUCUAUUUUCUUCUCCUAUUAGAACUGAAAAAGGCAGGGUCAGCCAUGCAAGACUUCACUAUCUCUCUGCAGCACGGCUGUGUUUGCUACUGGAAAUGAAGCUAAAAGCAAAGUUUCAGUAUCCCCACGUGAGCGCUGGAGAAGCUGAUCAGAUCACAGGCUCUGUCUGCUUCUCUACAAGUAUAACUGCCAGGAAAGAUCUGUCCCACAGAAGACAGAGGAUGCAUCUUUCCUUUGCUAAUCUCUUCUUGCUCCUGUUGUUAAAAGAUCCUUAAGGCUGAUUGUUGCCAUGGGAUUAAGGAGCCUGGAGCCUACUAAUUCAACUCCCAAAAGUUUGUUUAACUAGUUAGUGUGCCACACUGUGAGGGUCAUGCUGACAUCCUUAUUUCAGCCCUCUUUUCAAAGAAAAUAAUUGGUCCACUCCCAACGACUGACGAUUCAACUGGAGUUCACAAGUGGAAUUUCUGUCUAUUAGCCUGUGUCAAGAAGGUUUGCAUUCUGGAUCCUAAAAAAUGAAAACCGAAGAGAAAUGAGAACACAGAAUGUCUCAUGAUGAGAUUUAGUGCACAUUAUAAACACCUUGCAAAGGAGAAGUGUGUGAGCCCUGGGAUUUAACACCUUUGGUGCUCCUGCAGCUCUGCCAUAGGGACAAAGUCAGCUUAUAUUCAGUACCGCUGAGCAUCAAGUGUGAAAUGCUAGGAGGAGCCAGAUCAGUGCCAGGACAAGAUGAGAAGCAGUACCUUUGCAAUUGAGGUCAUCAUCCAAGGAUUAAAAACAGACUGUGAUCUAACUCCAUCUGUUAAGUGUCUAGGGACUCCAUGUCUAGUACACAAGAAUGCUGUCCUCAUAAUAGGAAUUUUGGAAAGAUCUUCAAGAAAUCCAUCAACUUUCCAGUUGGUUAAUGAAUCUUUUUUUUCCCAAAUGUUAGUCAAAUACCUCACAUGCUCAGUGUGAUAUUAUGUACAACAGGCCCAUGAACCAAAUUCUUCCCCUGUUUUGCAGCUGCUGUAAUUUAUAUUUCCCAACAAAUCACGACUUUGCCUUUUCUCCUCCUGCCUUAAACAGUGAAGGAAGGGAGAACAUGACCAUUCCAGGCUGCCCAGAGGAAAGAAGGACAAAACUGCUAAAUUGACUCAGUGUGAAAAUGUCACACUACCCUGGCGCAACCCCUGGUGUUCUCAAGAAGCAGAGGUGGAAGGAGCCAGCUCCAGAUGCUGGGUAGUUUUUCUUCCCUACAGGAAAGUAACAUCAAAUGCUGCUCUCAGGCACAGGAAUUGCUCUGGGAAUUGAGAGCCCUCCAUCCACAACCUCCUUUCUGGUGUCUUGACAUAAUGCAAGUUAAAAUCUUGCACCACAAACUCUGAAGAGCUGCCUAAAGCAUCAUAAAAUCAUACAAUGGUUUGGGUUGGGAGGGACCUUAAAGAUCAUCCAGUACCACUCGUCUGCCAUGGGCAGGG